AUACGGGGGAUCCGAGCGUUAUCCGGAAUUACUGGGCGUAAAGGGCGCGCAGGCGGAUAUUUAAGUCAGCUGUAAAAGGCAUGAGCUCAACUCAUGUAUGCGGUUGAAACUGGGUAUCUAGAGUGCUGGAUAGGUAGGCGGAAUUCCCGGUGUAGCGGGGAAAUGCGUAGAUAUCGGGAAGAACACCAGUGGCGAAGGCGGCUUACUGGCCAGCAACUGACGCUGAGGCGCGAAAGCCAGGGGUGCGAACGGGAUUAGAUACCCCGGUAGUCCUGGCCGUAAACGAUGAAUGCUAGGUGUGGGUGUCGAGAGGCAUCCGUGCCGGAGUUAACGCGAUAAGCAUUCCGCCUGGGGAGUACGAUCGCAAGAUUGAAACUCAAAGGAAUUGGCGGGG
rnacentral:rRNA from 1 species